rnacentral:sRNA from 1 species
CCGCUUCAUACCCACACUUCAUCCUCCUGUUUCUCUCCAGGCCACCAUGUCUGCAGGCAACGGCACCCCUUGGGGGUCAGCAGCGGGGGAGGAGGUCUGGGCUGGAUCAGGAGUGGAGGUGGAGGGCUCAGAGCUGCCCACCUUCUCGGCAGCAGCCAAGGUCCAAGUGGGAGUGACCAUUGUGCUGUUUGUUUCUUCGGCUGGAGGGAACCUGGCAGUCCGGCGGUCAGUGACACGGCCGCAACCCAGCCAGCUCCGCCCCUCUCCGGUCAGGAGACUCUUCGCCCAUUUAGCAGCCACCGACUUACUAGUCACUUUUGUGGUUAUGCCCCUAGAUGCCACCUGGAAUGUCACUGUUCAAUGGCUGGCUGUGGACAUCGCAUGUCGGACACUCAUGUUCCUGAAACUAAUGGCCAUGUAUUCUGCAGCUUUCCUGCCUGUGAUCAUUGGACUGGACCGCCAGGCAGCAGUACUCAACCCGCUUGGAUCCCGUUCAGGUGUAAGGAAACUUCUGGGGGCAGCCUGGGGACUUAGUUUCCUGCUUGCCUUGCCCCAGCUGUUCCUGUUCCAUACCGUCCACCGAGCUGGCCCAGUCCCUUUCACUCAGUUUGUCACCAAAGGCAGCUUCAAGGCUCGAUGGCGAGAGACCACCUAUAACCUCUUCACCUUCUGCUGCCUCUUUCUGCUGCCACUGACUGCCAUGGCCAUCUGCUAUAGCCGCAUUGUCCUCAGUGUGUCCAGCCCCCAGACAAGGAAGGGGAGCCAUGCCCCUGCUGGUGAAUUUGCCCUCCCCCACUCCUUUGACAAUUGUCCCUGUGUUUGUCUCCGGGCCCUGAGAUUGGCCCUGCUUAUCUUGCUGACCUUCAUCGUCUGCUGGACCCCUUAUUACCUACUGGGUCUGUGGUACUGGUUCUCCCUCACCAUGCUAACUGAAGUCCCUCCCAGCCUGAGCCACAUCCUUUUCCUCUUUAGCCUCCUCAAUGCUCCUUUGGAUCCUCUCCUCUAUGGGGCCUUCACCCUUGGCUGCCGAAGAGGGCACCAAGAACUUAGCAUAGACGUUUCUAAAGAAGGGUCUGGGAGAAUGCUCCAAGAGGAGAUUCAUGCCCUUAGACAGCUAGAAGUACAAAAAACUGUGACAUCAAGAAAGGCAGGAGAAACAAAAGACAUUUCUAUAACAUCUAUCUGA